rnacentral:rRNA from 1 species
AGUGAACGCUGGCGGCGUGCUUAACACAUGCAAGUCGAACGAGAACGGAAUAUAGCUUGCUAUAUUUGUCAGCUAAGUGGCGCACGGGUGAGUAAUGUAUAGAUAACCUGCCCUUAAGAAAGGAAUAACAGUUGGAAACGACUGCUAAUGCCCUAUAUGCCUUUAAUACAUAAGUAUGAAAGGGAAACGCUUUAGUGCUUAAGGAUGUGUCUGUAUGGUAUCAGAUUGUUGGUGAGGUAAGGGCUCACCAAGGCUAUGACGCCUAACUGGUUUGAGGGGAUGAUCAGUCACACUGGAACUGAGACACGGUCCAGACUCCUACGGGAGGCAGCAGUGGGGAAUAUUGCACAAUGGACGAAAGUCUGAUGCAGCAACGCCGCGUGGAGGAUGACACAUUUCGGUGCGUAAACUCCUUUUAUAUAGGAAGAUAAUGACGGUACUAUAUGAAUAAGCACCGGCUAACUCCGUGCCAGCCGCCGCAGUAA